rnacentral:lncRNA from 1 species
CUGGUCCUCCUUUAACUCGUGGGAGCCAUGAAGUGUGUUUCAUCUCUUGCGGUGCUCCUUUUGCUCGUACUCUCCGUGAGUGCAAUCUCUUACCUCAUUACCCCACAUGAACUGAUCUUCAAAGAGAUCCUGAAAGAUGUCAUUUCAUUUUCAAAACAACACAUUACAUCAUCAUUACAGUGUCUGUGGAAUUACAGAUAUAGUGACAUUUUUAAGAUUCUGCUCGUGAUCCGCAUCACCUUGGUUGUUGUCAAUUGGACCUUGAAAAGCAUUGAGACAUUCCUUGCAUUCUUCAAGAACGCUCGUAAGGACAGGAUCCGUUGCCCUCGGAAUCGCAACCACCGUGCCUUGCUGAAUCUACGACACCGUUAUGAAAACAAACCGAGUGUUUCGCCGUCCUAUUGUACCUGCAGACACAGAAACUGUUGCAGAUAAACGACCCUGUUUCUUCAUUGCCUCUAAAAUUUAAAUACCUUGUUUCUGUAUUGCCCUUUGCCUUCUUGUAAGUCAUGAAAAUGGUUAAUAAAAUAUUUCUGGGCA